CACGUAGGGAGCAAGCGUUGUCCGGAUUUAUUGAGCGUAAAGAGCUCGUAGGCGGUCUGUUGCGUCGGCUGUGAAAACCCGGGGCUCAACCCCGGGCCUGCAGCCGAUACGGGCAGACUAGAGUUCGGUAGGGGAGUCUGGAAUUCCUGGUGUAGCGGUGAAAUGCGCAGAUAUCAGGAGGAACACCGGUGGCGAAGGCGGGACUCUGGGCCGAUACUGACGCUGAGGAGCGAAAGCGUGGGGAGCAAACAGG
rnacentral:rRNA from 1 species